rnacentral:rRNA from 1 species
UACGUAGGGGGCUAGCGUUGUCCGGAAUCAUUGGGCGUAAAGAGCGUGUAGGCGGCCCGGUAAGUCCGCUGUGAAAGUCGGGGGCUCAACCCUCGAAUGCCGGUGGAUACUGUCGGGCUAGAGUGCGGAAGAGGGGAGUGGAAUUCCUGGUGUAGCGGUGAAAUGCGCAGAUAUCAGGAGGAACACCGAUUGCGAAGGCAGCUCGCUGGGACGUUACUGACGCUGAGACGCGAAAGCGUGGGGAGCAAACAGG